AUUGAACGCUGGCGGCAUGCCUUACACAUGCAAGUCGAACGGCAGCACGGGUGCUUGCACCUGGUGGCGAGUGGCGAACGGGUGAGUAAUACAUCGGAACAUGUCCUGUAGUGGGGGAUAGCCCGGCGAAAGCCGGAUUAAUACCGCAUACGAUCUACGGAUGAAAGCGGGGGACCUUCGGGCCUCGCGCUAUAGGGUUGGCCGAUGGCUGAUUAGCUAGUUGGUGGGGUAAAGGCCUACCAAGGCGACGAUCAGUAGCUGGUCUGAGAGGACGACCACCAAACAGGGAACUGGAACACGGCCACACCCCCUAGGGGGGGAAGAGGGGGGAAAUUUGGGAAAAGGGGGGAAACCCGGACCCGGAAAUGCGGGGGGGUGGAAAAAGGCUUUGGGGUUUAAAAGCAUUUUUUUCGGAAAAAAAAUCCUUGGCCCUAAUACGGGCGGGGGAGGCGGGAACCGGAAAAAAAAGCACCGGUAACCUAGGG
rnacentral:rRNA from 1 species